UUUAAUUGAAGAGUUUGAUCAUGGCUCAGAUUGAACGCUGGCGGCAGGCCUAACACAUGCAAGUCGAGCGGUAACAGAAAGUA
rnacentral:rRNA from 9 species